CGGACGGGAUAAACGCUGAAAGCAUCUAAGCGUGAAGCCCUCCCCAAGAUGAAUUCUCCCUAUGAGUCCCCUGGAAGACUACCAGGUUGAUAGGACGGAGGUGUACAGGCGUAUAUCUAAAGGCCUUGAGCUGACCGUUACUAAUCGGACCACUGGCUUGGUCGUUC
rnacentral:rRNA from 1 species